AGUCAUAUGCUUGUCUCAAAGAUUAAGCCAUGCAUGUCUCAGUACAAGCCUAAUUAAGGUGAAACCGCGAAAGGCUCAUUAAAUCAGUUAUGGUUCCUUAGAUCGUACCCACAUUUACUUGGAUAACUGUGGUAAUUCUAGAGCUAAUACAUGCAAACAGAGCUCCGACCGGAGACGGAAGGAGCGCUUUUAUUAGAUCAAAACCAAUCGGCGGCGGGCUCGCUCGCCGUCGUACACCUUGGUGAAUCUGAAUAACUUUCUGCUGAUCGCAUGGUCUCGCACCGGCGACGCAUCUUUCAAAUGUCUGCCUUAUCAACUGUCGAUGGUAGGUUCUGCGCCUACCAUGGUUGUAACGGGUAACGGGGAAUCAGGGUUCGAUUCCGGAGAGGGAGCCUGAGAAACGGCUACCACAUCCAAGGAAGGCAGCAGGCGCGCAAAUUACCCACUCCCGGCACGGGGAGGUAGUGACGAAAAAUAACGAUACGGGACUCAUCCGAGGCCCCGUAAUCGGAAUGAGUACACUCUAAACCCUUUAACGAGGAUCAAUUGGAGGGCAAGUCUGGUGCCAGCAGCCGCGGUAAUUCCAGCUCCAAUAGCGUAU
rnacentral:rRNA from 2 species